rnacentral:misc_RNA from 1 species
UGGUCGGAUUUGAUCGAUUUGGGGUGUUUCAAUAUCAUCAUCCUUCGGUUCAACUUGAUCGAGAGAUGGUGGUUCCUCAGGUUGGGGUUUUGCCAUGUUGUCAUUGUCAAAGGACUUGAUUUGUAGAUCUCCUUCAGGUUGGGUUUUGUCCAAGUUUUCAUUAUCAACGGUUUCCAUUUGUUGAUCUCCUUCAGGUUGAGUUUUGUCCAAGUUGUCAUUGUCAAAGGUUUCGAUUUG